CCUACGGGAGGCAGCAGUGAGGAAUAUUGGUCAAUGGACGAGAGUCUGAACCAGCCAAGUAGCGUGAAGGAUGACUGCCCUAUGGGUUGUAAACUUCUGUUAUAGGGGAAGAAAACGUGCCACGUGUGGGAUUUUGUAUGUACCAUAUGAAUAAGGAUCGGCUAACUCCGUGCCAGCAGCCGCGGUAAUACGGAGGAUCCGAGCGUUAUCCGGAUUUAUUGGGUUUAAAGGGAGCGUAGGUGGCUUGUUAAGUCAGUUGUGAAAGUUUGCGGCUCAACCGUAAAAUUGCAGUUGAAACUGGCAGUCUUGAGUACAGUAGAGGUGGGCGGAAUUCGUUGUGUAGCGGUUAAAUGCU
rnacentral:rRNA from 1 species